UAGCACCUGACCUGUUGUUGGGCGUGAAUUAAAGGACUUCUUAAAGUUACUCUAAUGGAGGCAAAAUUAGAAUAACCAGUAUUUCAACCAAAGCCCAUCUUUCCCUGUAUAUUUUACUAAGUACCCUAGGGAAAUUUACAAUACAUUUUUCAUAGCUACAAAGAAAAUGUGGUGGUAAAACCCGGCUGAACAUUGGCAGAAAACAGAAAGCUAUGCAGAAUUACUGCUGACUUCAGGGAAAUAGUAUUGCUCGUGAUUUUGCCCAUGGAUAGUCAAAGCACCCCUCUUUAUUUCUGCCACUCCCCCUCCCCAGACAUACAUAUGUACCCUCUCACUCCUUCCCUCUUUCUCCACAGCCCCUGCCAGCAAACAGAAGUUUGUUUCUUUUUUCUCUUUCCUAUGGUAAACUAUAAUACAAGAAAACAACAGAAAGAAAUUAAUCCUGGUCCAAACCUUUCAUUCCAUUUCUGCCUAUCGUCUUAUUCCUUCCCUCCCUCCUCUCAACAUGGAUGUAAACAAGUUUUUCAGGAGCAGACUGAAGCACAGCAAAGUCCUGUGGUGGGAAGGCAGUGUGCUCAGCCCACAUUAGAAGAGGCAGCCGCUCCUGUUUCCCAGCCCCUAGGAUAUAGAGACGGAGCCUCUGAGACAAUGAGAACUCCCUUCCUGGGUGAGUCUGAAAUAAAAAGAACUGCACAGUUAAAGAGGACCCAACACAAAGAUUUAC
rnacentral:lncRNA from 1 species